UGCCUACGGGGGGCAGCAGUGAGGAAUAUUGGUCAAUGGCCGCAGGGCUGAACCAGCCAAGUCGCGUGAGGGAUGACGGUCCUAUGGAUUGUAAACCUCUUUUGUCAGGGAGCAAAGGGCGCCACGUGUGGCGCUUUGCGAGCACCUGAAGAAAAGCAUCGGCUAACUCCGUGCCAGCAGCCGCGGUAAUACGGAGGAUGCGAGCGUUAUCCGGAUUUAUUGGGUUUAAAGGGUGCGCAGGCGGAAUGUCAAGUCAGUGGUCAAAUUGCGGGGCUCAACCCCGUACUGCCGUUG
rnacentral:rRNA from 1 species